UAACUCAAGAACGCAUACGCCUAGGAUCAUGAAACUUCAUGGGUAGAUUGAUCAUGACUAUCAGAUGACCCCUAUUAAUUUUGAGGUCUCUAGGUCAAAGGUCAAGGUCAUGGUGACCCGAAAUAGUAAAAUGGUUUCCGGAUGAUAACUCAAGAACACAUACGCCUAGGAUCGUGAAACUUUAUGGGUAGAUUGAUCAUGACUCGCAGAUGACCCCUAUCAAUUUUGAGGUCACUAGGUCAAAGGUCAAGGUCACGGUGACCCGAAAUAGUAAAAUGGUUUCUGGAUGAUAACUCAAGAACGCAUACGCCUAGGAUCAUGAAACUUCAUAGGUAGAUUGAUCAUGACUUGCAGAUGACCCCUAUUGUUUUUGAGGUCACUAGGUCAAAGGUCAAGGUCACAGUGACCUGAAAUAGUAAAAUGGUUUUCGGAUGAUAACUCAAGAAUGCUUUUGCCUAGGAUCAUGAAACUUCAUAUGCCCCCUUCGAAGAAGAGGUGGUAUAUUGCUUUGCUCAUGUCGGUCGGUCGGUCGGUCGGUAGGUCGGUCGGUCCGUCCACCAGGUGGUUGUCGUAUGAUAACUCAAGAACGCAUACGCCUAGGAUCAUGAAACUUCAUAGGUAGAUUGAUCAUGACUCGCAGAUGACCCCUAUUGAUUUUGAGGUCACAAGGUCAAAGGUCAAGGUCACGGUGACCCGAAAUAGUAAAAUGAUUCGGAUGAUAACUCAAGAACGCUUUUGCCUAGGAUCAUGACACUUCAUAGGUACAUUGAUCGUGACUCGCAGAUGACCCCUAUUGAUUUUCAGGUCACUAGGUCAAAGGUCAAGGUCACAGUGACAAAAAUCGUGCUCAUACAAUGGCUGCCACUACAAUGGACAGCCCAUAUGGGGGGCAUGCAUGUUUUACAAACAGCCCUUGUCAAAACUUGGCAUGAUCUUCAAUUACACCAUGCUCUUUAAUUUCACAUGUAUAUCAUAGCAAACUUUAUAUUUCGUUGUUUUCUUUUCUAAAGUAAUGAUGUCAUGUGUACGGACGUGAUUUCACAUAUUUUUUCUCUUUUGAUUUUUUUUUUCUCUAAUUCAAUAAGCUUGGGCAUGUUUAUUCGUUAAGUACGGCAACAAUUUCAUGAUGAUUCCCGAAAGAAGGUAUGAGCACAUAAUUGUCAGAGUUCUUGAAUACGUGAGUUCGCCGAUGAACACAUGGUAAGGUUGACUAAAUCUCUGCGAUAUGACAUAAUAUGUGUUUAAAAUUGCAAACAAUAUCCAACAAACGAGUGAAUUAUCAAACAAAGUAUGUGCACUGAUUUGGCUCUGUAAUUUCUGUUUGAAAAGUUUAUUAAAUAUGCAAAAUGAGAAAGCACGCAUAAGAGCGAGUUUCAUAGAUAUUAUACGGCUAUUAUGCUGUUUAUAUACCAUACUUGCUACAACGUUUACAAAUGGCAGGUUUGAAAUAAUUCGUUUUCUUUACACUUAUGAUUGCGUUAAACGUUAAUUAUGCCCCCCCUUCGAAGAAGAGGGGGUAUAUUGCUUUGCUCAUGUCUGUCGGUCUGUCGGUCCGUCCACCAGGUGGUUGUCAGACAAUAACUCAAGAACGCUUGGGACUAGGAUCAUGAAACUUCAUAGGUACAUUGAUCAUGACUCACAGAUGACCCCUAUUCAUUUUGAGGUCACUAGGUCAAAGGUCAAGGUCACGGUGACCCGAAAUAGUAAAAUGGUUUUUGAAUGAUAACUCAAGAACGCAUACGCCUAGGAUCAUGAAACUUCAUGGGUAGAUUGAUCAUGACUCGCAGAUGACUCCUAUUGAUUUUGAGGUAACUAGGUCAAAGGUCAAGGUCACGGUGACCCGAAAUAGUAAAAUGGUUUCCGGAUGAUAACUCAAGAAUGCAUACGCCUAGGAUCAUGAUACUUCAUAGGUAGAUUGAUCAUGACUCGCAGAUGACCCCUAUUGAUUUUGAGGUCACUAGGUCAAAGGUCAAGGUCACGGUGACCCGAAAUAGUAAAAUGGUUUUCAGAUGAUAACUCAAGAACGCAUAUGCCUAGGAUCAUGAAACUUCACAGGUAGAUUGAUCAUGACUCGCAGAUGACCCCUAUUGAUUUUGAGGUCACAAGGUCAAAGGUCAAGGUCAUGGUGACCCGAAAUAGUAAAAUGAUUUUCGGAUGAUAACUCAAGAACGCUUUUGCCUAGGAUCAUGACACUUCAUAGGUACAUUGAUCAUGACUCACAGAUGACCCCUAUUGAUUUUCAGGUCACUAGGUCAAAAGUCAAGGUCACAGUGACAAAAAACGUAUUCACACAAUGGCUGCCACUACAAUGGACAGCCCAUAUGGGGGGCAUGCAUGUUUUACAAACAGCCCUUGUUAAAUAUUGUCUUCAUUGUAAGAAGACAUUAAAGCAGCACUUUAUAAUAUAAAAAUGCUGUAAAACAUGCACUUAAAAACAAUUUUAAUUCUGUUACUUAUAAUCAUAUUUAUAAUGCUUAAUGUUUCCCAAUUUCAUGGUUUAUCGCUCUAUUUUUUCCAAUUUCAUGGUUUAUCGCGCCAUUUUUCCCAAACCAAAUGGCAAAGGCAGUCUUGGCAUUAAUUUGUUUAAGGCACUAGCCCGGUUGGGCUACCAGCUUUGAAAUUUCACUAGCCUGAAUCAAUUUUAACUAGCCCGAAUUAAAAGUUACAAUUCUGUUACAUUUAUAACUACAUGUAUGUUUGUAUUGAAGAAACAUAGAACAAUACAGAUUAAACAAAUACA